AUACGGCCAUUUGCAUUACAGACGUCUCUUCAGUGAGUACAAAUUGAUCUCGUUGAACUUUAUUUUAUUUAUCGGGCAUUUUCGACGCGCGACGACACAAGCACGGAUAGAGAAACAGAUUCACUGGAAAUUGGAGAUAUAAUCCCGGUUGAAGCAUCUUCACAUUCGUUUCUAUACCUGGUUUCACAACGAGUGGUGCAUCUAUUUGAAGCUUCUACCUAUUUACAAUAAUCCUCGUAACGGCUCGGAAUCUGCGUGUUUAAACGGAAAAUAUUGCAUUGGAUUACACCGGCACUUCCAACCUCCGUGACCUCACCACCCACAUGUGGCAAUACCUCUCCGAUCCCCGGAAGACGGGUGUUGCAUCUCUGUACUGAGUCCAAAUCAUACUCAGAAAUUCCAGAUAGUGUUCCUAUAAAUUAAAGCUACCGAUCGUUCGUUCAAUGGAACUGCUGCCGCAGCUGCUAUUGCUGCCCCAGCCACAGGACUGUCCAAAUAUGAGGAUGACCAGUAUAUCCUAUCAUAAUUGAUAGUCGCAGAAGUUUGGAAUCAGUAACGUUUGAGAAAACUUCGGGAAGAACUCCGCAACGAAGAAACUGAAUUGGUGCUAUUGAAGAAGUAGAAACAGUAAUGAUGAAAGAAAAUUUGAUUGUGGCUCCAAGUAAUACAAACAUGAACAACACUCUAGCUUCGAUACCAGCCGCCCUACCGAAAGGGUCAUUCAGUAUGACACCAAAGAAUGCAGUGGAUCGCCUAUCAAUAUCACAAUGUCUCUCUUCACUACCGAGAGCCGUUACUCUCACCCCUAGUACACCGGGUCAUAGGCUAUGUAUCGAACAAUCGAACGAUCGCACUGUCAGUGACGAUAACUGAUAACGAACGCACCUUCGAAUAGUGUAAAACAGCGAAAUGUACAGUCUGGACAGAUUAGCAAUUCGGUAUCUACAACAACAGCACCAUAAAUACCAGCAUAAAUAAGCUGGACUACUAUGGAGCCGGUUUCACUUGAGAUAACACUCAGACUCAGUCUCUACGACAAGCUGCGGCCAAACCGGCACUCAGAAAACAGUGGAAGAAAACCUUGCUACGGAUCCGUCCAAACCUCCGCGGAUAUGUAUUUCAUUUCGAAUGGAUGCACAUGAAUGCGCAAAUAAUGACGCAGCUUGCACCAUUAUUGGAAACAAUCCCCCGGUGGACUAUCUGAGGAGAUAAAAGCGAGAAAAUAUUUUCACUGAGUGCGGAUGCUCUGAACUAUUUUUUUUCCUUUAUUUCUCUGAACUAUUCAUUCCUACCCAAAUAACUGUCUUCAUCGCGUUCUGAAACCGGAGAAAAUUCCACUGACGGACAAUGACAUUGUGAAAUUCUCCAAUUUCAAGUGGUUCUUCGCUUA